CGGUUAAAAAGCUCGUAGUUGGAUCUCGGCAGCCAGGGGGCGGUUCGCUGUUCAGCGCUACUGCCCCAUUUGGCUGUGUAUUUGGCGGAGGUUUCGGGGUGCUCUUUGCUGAGUGUCCCGGGGCGCCGUCAGGUUUACUUUGAAAAAAUUAGAGUGCUCAAAGCAGGCUUUACACGCUUGAAUAUUCGUGCAUGGAAUAAUGGAAUAGGAACUCGUUUCUAUUUUGUUGGUUUUCGGAAAUCGAGUUAAUGAUUAAUAGGGACAAUUGGGGGCAUUAAUAUUCAAACGACAGAGGUGAAAUUCUUGGACCGUUUGAAGACUAACUACUGCGAAAGCAUUUGCCAAGAGUGUUUUCAUUAAUCAAGAACGAAAGUUAGAGGUUCGAAGGCGAUCAGAUACCGCCCUAGUUCUAACCAUAAACGAUGCCAGCUAGCGAUCCGCAGACGCUGUUUUUGUAGGCUCUGCGGGAAGCUUUCGGGAAACCCAAGCUUUUGGGUUCCGGGGGAAGUAUGGUUG
rnacentral:rRNA from 1 species